UGUAGUUCAAACAUUUUUACUGUUUACUGCACUUUGAUAUUCUCGUUAUUUCCCUACAGCGGCUAAUGAACCGGAAGUCUCGCAUACUCACAGAAAACAGCAUACUUCUGCAUUGAAAACUAAGGAGGAUAAAGCGUGUAGGUCAUUACAGGACAGCAGUGAGUAAGCCAAUCAGUUGAGGGGAAGCAUCUCAUGUUUAAAAUGGCUGUGAUAUCCAAGAGAAGGCAUCAACAGACAGCUAUGUAAGAGUCUAGUGUGAACGUGCAAGCUAACUUUUGGCAAGAAGACAGUGACCCACAGGACCGAGUCAAAACUGGAGCACUCAAUAUAUCUUGAAGGAAAAUAUACCGGGAUCUGUAGGGGGCAGAGAGAAAGACAGAGACGAAGAGAGCACAUUAUCACACAUAGUCAAAAGAUCUCCAAAUGCUUCGGGUCCCAUAUUAGAUGAAGUAAAUCUGUGAGUGGAGUGACUUUAUCUGUCAGUGAAAGAGAAAGGUAGGGAAAGCAUGCACAUUGACCGAUGGUUCAUGUUCAGUUGUGUUG
rnacentral:lncRNA from 1 species